GUUCAUGACUGGGGUGAAGUCGUAACAAGGUAGCCCUAGGGGAACCUGGGGCUGGAUCACCUCCUUA
rnacentral:rRNA from 4 species